rnacentral:tmRNA from 1 species
GGGGAUGAUUGGCUUUGACAGGAAGUUCUUUCUAAAUUGCGCAUGCCGAGUAUUCUAAAAUCUCGCUAAACUUUUAGAAAUUUAAUAAGUGCAAACUUAUUCAAAACACCUGCUUUAGCAUACGCUUAAAGCAUGCCCUUCCGCCGACUCUUGAUAGGCGGGUCUGGGUAUCAUUCAUCAAGAUUGAUAGUUUUCUUUGAUUCGCGGGGACUAUUGAAAAACAGAAUCAAAACUAAGAACUUUUUGUCUGGCGUUCACUUCUUGGUUAAUUUAAGCCAGAAUAAGCAUGUAGAAGCGCUUUAGGAACCUUUUUGCACGGCGGUUCGAUUCCGCCCAUCUCCAUAA